AGAAUGAACGUUGGCGGCGUGGAUUAGGCAUGCAAGUCGAACGGGCCGCAAGGCCAGUGGCGCAAGGGUGAGUAAGGCGACGGCAACCAACCCCGUGAUUGGGUAUAGCCGCGGGAAACCGCGGGUAAUCCCCAGCGACGUCCGGAAGGGGCAUCCUUUUCGGACCAAAGCUUCGGCGUCGUGGGACGGGCCGUCGUGCUAUUAGCUUGUUGGCGGGGUAACGGCCCACCAAGGCUCUGAUGGCUACCGGGCGUGCGAGCGUGGCCCGGCACACUGGGACUGAGACACUGCCCAGACUCCUACGGGAGGCUGCAGUCGAGAAUCUUCGGCAAUGGGCGCAAGCCUGACCGAGCGACGCCGCGUGGAGGACGAAGGCCUUCGGGUUGUAAACUCCUGUCGAGGGGGAAGAAGGGGUAAAACCUUGACUGAUCCCUGGAGGAAGCACGGGCUAAGUUCGCGCCAGCAGCCGC
rnacentral:rRNA from 1 species